GCUCCAGUAGCGAAUACUAACGUUGUUGCAGUUGAAAAGCUCGUAGUUGAAUUUCUGGUAUGACUGGCCGGCCUUUGGAUGAAUGUCCACUGUUCGCUGUGUGUCAAGUUAGGCCAUCCUCCUUUCAUUUUGGAAGGGUCUUUCACUGUAAAAAAUUAGGGUGUUUCAAGCAAUGUUCGUUGGAAUAUAUUAGUAUGGGA
rnacentral:rRNA from 1 species